rnacentral:rRNA from 1 species
GACGAACGCUGGCGGCGUGCUUAACACAUGCAAGUCGAGCGGUAAGGCCCUUUCGGGGGUACACGAGCGGCGAACGGGUGAGUAACACGUGGGUGACCUGCCCUCAGCUCUGGGAUAAGCCUGGGAAACCGGGUCUAAUACCGGAUAUGACUCCAUGACGCAUGUUGUGGGGUGGAAAGCCUUGUGCGGCUGAGGAUGGGGCCCGCGGCCUAUCAGCUUGUUGGUGGGGUGAUGGCCUACCAAGGCGACGACGGGUAGCCGGCCUGAGAGGGCGACCGGCCACACUGGGACUGAGACACGGCCCAGACUCCUACGGGAGGCAGCAGUGGGGAAUCUUGCGCAAUGGGCGAAAGCCUGACGCAGCGACGCCGCGUGA